rnacentral:rRNA from 1 species
UACGUAGGGUGCAAGCGUUGUCCGGAAUUACUGGGCGUAAAGCGUGUGUAGGCGGCUAGGUAAGUCGGAUGUGAAAGCCCCAGGCUCAACCUGGGAAGUGCACUCGAUACUGCUUAGCUCGAGUACUGGAGAGGUUGGUGGAAUUCUCGGUGUAGAGGUGAAAUUCGUAGAUAUCGAGAGGAACACCGGUGGCGAAGGCGGCCAACUGGACAGAUACUGACGCUGAGACACGAAAGCGUGGGGAGCAAACAGG